CAAACACAGAAGGAUCAAACAAUGGAGUGUGCUGAGGACUCUUAAGGACAUUGAGGACUCUAAAGGACAUUUUGAUGAUUUGGAGCCCCGUGUAGGCCUUACUUACUGUGCCCGCAUGUAGACGACACGGAACAACGUAAGGGUCAGCUCGGUCCUGCGGGCCAGGCUCAGAUCGCCAUGCCUGAGGGCUCGUGCCCUUCCUUCCUCCCCUGCUCAGCUGUCUCACGACAGCUCUCUGAGUCUACAAAUCUCACCCCGCCCACCUUCACUCUUGUCCUCAUCCUCCUACAACCCAAGAAAUAUUUGUACAAAUGAAGAAACACCAAAUGGACUUAUCUUUGAGGCAAGAAACAAAGGAGGCAAAGAGAGGUACAAAAAUAGGUCUAAGAACAGGAAGUUAUGGGGGGGGGGGUUCCUGCUGUAACCUCUGUUUCCUCUGUGCAGUAGGAGAAAGGUCAUUUACUAGUAGAGAAGAAGGAAGUU
rnacentral:lncRNA from 1 species